GCGUCCUGCAACAACUCCCUCAGUGGCCUGGCUGGAAGCGCUUCCCCACAGCGCGCGGGUGAGAGCGGCCUCAGCGAAGUCCAGAGUGGAGCUAAACCGGCGCCAGCUUUCACCACAAGCUGAGUGAGAGCAGGGCCAGGACCGCAACCUGGAGGGCUCCACACGGGGGUUUUCUUGCCACCCAGAGCCAGUGGAGAGUGAGACCCAGUGAGGGUCUCACCCUCGAGUCUGUGAGAGAAGGCAGGCCCCUGGCAGGAGGCAGAGAAGCACAGACAGACCUGCUGGGGGCUGAUGCAAGGAAGGGAGCUGCGUAGGCGGCCCCCUCCUACCUGUGGCCUGUGGGCUGCCCUUGCCUCGGUGGUCCUUAUGGUCUGAGGCACGGCCUUCGUCAGUUUCCCGGCUUUUCUCUCGAGGACGCUGUGCGCGGUUGAGGACCUCUCCAGGAUCUUGAGUGUCGGAGGAGUGAAUAAUGAUGCCCCAGAUUUCAUUCCUGAAUUUGAGAGAAAAUGUGUGAAUGGAGGAGGGGCAGAGAGAGAUGGAGACAGAAUCUGAAGCAGGCUCCUGCUCUGAGCUGUCAGCACAGAGACCAAUGGUGUGGCUUGAACUUUUGAACCACAAGAUCAUGACUUGGGCUGAAAAUGGAUGCUUAACUGACUGAGCCACCCAGG